UACGUAGGGUGCGAGCGUUGUCCGGAAUUAUUGGGCGUAAAGAGCUCGUAGGCGGUCUGUCGCGUCUGCUGUGAAAACCCGAGGCUCAACCUCGGGCCUGCAGUGGGUACGGGCAGACUAGAGUGCGGUAGGGGAGAGUGGAAUUCCUGGUGUAGCGGUGGAAUGCGCAGAUAUCAGGAGGAACACCGAUGGCGAAGGCAGAUCUCUGGGCCGUAACUGACGCUGAGGAGCGAAAGCGUGGGGAGCGAACAGG
rnacentral:rRNA from 1 species